GUGUCAGCAGCCGCGGUAAUACGUAGGGAUCGAGCGUUGUCCGGAUUUAUUGGGCGUAAAGAGCUCGUAGGUGGCUCAGUAAGUCGGAUGUGAAAUCUCCAGGCUCAACCUGGAGAGGCCAUUCGAUACUGCUGUGGCUAGAGUCCGGUAGGGGCCCACGGAACUCCUGGUGUAGCGGUGAAAUGCGCAGAUAUCAGGAAGAACACCGGUGGCGAAGGCGGUGGGCUGGGCCGGCACUGACACUGAAGAGCGAAAGCGUGGGGAGCGAACAGGAUUAGAUACCCGCGUAGUCC
rnacentral:rRNA from 1 species